CUGGAGAAGGGCUACGACAUGGAGGUCGGUGAGGGGGGCGGCCUGCUGUCCAAGAGCAAGCGGCAACGCGUGGCCAUCGCCCGAGCGCUGGUCAGACGGCCGCGGGUCCUCAUCCUGGACGAAGUCACCAGCUCCCUGGAUGAGCCCAGCGAAGGCAAGGUCCUGCAGGGUCUGUUGAGGCGUUCUGAGUGAAACGUGCUGCUGAUCACUCACAGACUGAAGACACCCGAGACGAUCGACCAGAUUGCGGUGAUCGGCGGCGGUGGCGUUCGGGAGCGAGGAACCCACCAGACCAGAAGGGAAUCUACUGUAAAAUGGCAGGGGGGCGGGACGCGAGCGUGGACGCCGGUCUCGGUUGGCCGCCGCGUGAUCAGAAGCGCUGAAUUGGAGUCCUGCAUUCGAUCCAUGAAACGGCAUUCGCCGAUUCCCAACCCUCGAGUCUCUUCAUUUCGUCGUCUCUCUCGUCUGAAGGUCUUUCAGAAUGAGAUGAUUUGGGCUCAAUCACAUUCGAGUCUCCACCUGCUGCCACGUCAAUCCAAUCUUCCUUCCGAAGCAACCGAAUGUCAUGUCCAAAUUCCUCCUCAGAGGGCCAGCGCACCGGCCCUCGAUUCUUCUGUGCUCUCUUCGGUCACUGCAAAAGCCGCUCUCGCCACUUGGGACUUGCAAAAUACGUCUGUAGCCAAACUUGUCAAAGCUACGCCGAGUAGAAUGUACAGUAUUUCAUUGCCAUUUGAUGAUUCGUGUCAUUCGACAAAUACUGAGUCUGAACCGCUCCCAUUGAUGUAGAACUCGUGUGGCAUUUUGACCUGGUUUCUAUAAAUUUGCCGAGAGAGCGGUUGAGGUGAA